rnacentral:misc_RNA from 1 species
GAUGAAGAACGUAGCGAAAUGCGAUAAGUAAUGUGAAUUGCAGAAUUCAGUGAAUCAUCGAAUCUUUGAACGCACCUUGCGCUCUUUGGUAUUCCGAAGAGCAUGCCUGUUUGAGUGUCAUGAAAAUAUCAACCUUGACUUGGGUUUUGUGCUCUAGUCUCGGCUUGGAAUUGGGUGCUUGCCGCUUUUACGAGCGGCUCACCUUAAAUGUAUUAGCUGGAUCUGUCUUUGAGACUUUGUUUGACUUGGCGUAAUAAGUAUUUCGCUAAGGACAUUCUUCGGAGUGGCCUCGUUUCUAGGACGCUUGUCCGCUUUCCAAUACAAGUUCCACCUCGUGGACAUGACUUUUUAUUAUCUGGCCUCAAAUCAGGUAGGACUACCCGCUGAACUUAAGCAUAUCAAUAAGCGGAGGA